UACGGAGGGUGCAAGCGUUAAUCGGAAUUACUGGGCGUAAAGCGUACGUAGGCGGCUUGUUAAGCAAGAUGUGAAAGCCCCGGGCUCAACCUGGGAAUGGCAUUUUGAACUGGCAGGCUCGAGUUCUGAAGAGGGUGGUAGAAUUUCCUGUGUAGCGGUGAAAUGCGUAGAUAUAGGAAGGAAUACCGGUGGCGAAGGCGGCCACCUGGUCAGAAACUGACGCUGAGGUA
rnacentral:rRNA from 1 species